UAGGGAUUCUUCGGCAAUGGACGAUAGUCUGACCGAGCAACGCCGCGUGAGUGAAGAAGGCUUUCGGAUCGUAAAACUCUGUUGUUAGAGAAGAACAAUGACGUUAGUAACUGAACGUCCCCUGACGGUAUCUAACCAGAAAGCCACGGCUAACUACGUGCCAGCAUCCGCGGUAAUACGUAGGUGGCAAGCGUUGUCCGGAUUUAUUGGGCGUAAAGCGAGUGCAGGCGGUUUAUUAAGUCUGAUGUGAAAGCCCCCGGCUCAACCGGGGAGGGUCAUUGGAAACUGGGAGACUUGAGUGCAGAAGAGGAGAGUGGAUGUACAUGUGUAGCGGUGAGAUGCGUAGAUAUAUGGAGGAACAACAGUGGCGAAGGCGGCUCUCUGGUCUGUAACUGACGCUGAGGCUCGAAAGAGUGGGGAGCAAACAGG
rnacentral:rRNA from 1 species